rnacentral:misc_RNA from 1 species
CCAGUGUGUAAGUAUAGGGGC